rnacentral:rRNA from 1 species
UGAUAUGCUUGUCUCAAAGAUUAAGCCAUGCAUGUGUCAGUAUGAGCCCUAUUAGGGUGAGACCGCGAAUGGCUCAUUAUAUCAGUUGUGGUUCCUUGGAUAGAUGAAGCAGACGUGGAUAACUGUGGCAAUUCUAGAGCUAAUACAUGCAAUUAAGUCCUGACUGGUAACGGAAAGGACGCUUUUAUUAGAUCAAAACCAAUCGGCACCUCGUGGGUGUCGUAGGUCUUGGUGACUCUGAAUAAAGUUACAGUAGAUCGCAUGGCCUUGCGCUGGCGACAGAUCUUUCAAAUGUCUGCCUUAUCAACUCUCGAUGGUAGACUCUGUGUUUACCAUGGUCGUAACGGGUAACGGGGAAUCAGGGUUCGAUUCCGGAGAGGGAGCCUGAGAAAUGGCUACCACAUCUAAGGAAGGCAGCAGGCGCGCAAAUUACCCAAUUUCGGCACGGAGAGGUAGUGACGACAAAUAACGAUACGGGACUCAUCCGAGGCCCCGUAAUCGGAAUGAAACAAGAAUAAAAAAUUUUUUGAGUAUCCAUUGGAGGGCAAGUCUUGUGCCAGCAGCCGCGGUAACUCAAGUUCCAAUAGCGUAUAUUAAAGUUGUUGCGGUUAAAAAGCUCGUAGUCGGAUGUGUGUUCCACGCUGCCGGUUCACCGCCCGUCGGUGUCUAACUGGCAUGUCGUGCGAACGUCCUGUCUGUGGCCCCGCCUUGCCGUGUCCGUGUGCGUCGUUUUGGUGAGUUACCGGGACAUCUCGUCCUGGGGCGUCUUGCCAAACGGCCUGCGGAUGCACGGAGGGGGCCUGCUCGCACCCUAUCGUGGUGCUCUUGACCGAGUGUCUCGAUGGGCAGACACGUUUACUUUGAACAAAUUAGAGUGCUCAAAGCAGGCAUAUUUCGCCUGAAUAUUCAGUGCAUGGAAUAAUGGAAGAUGACCUCGGUUCUAUUUUGUUGGUUUUCGGAAUAUCCGAGGUAAUGGUCAAUAGGGACAGACGUGGCCAUUCGUAUUGCGACGUUAGAGGUGAAAUUCUUGGAUCGUCGCAAGACGGACAGAAGCGAAGGCAUUUGGCAAGAAUGUUUUCACUGAUCAAGAACGAAAGUCAGAGGUGCCAAGGCGAUUAGAUACCGCCCUAGUUCUGACCAUAAACGAUGCCAGCCAGCAAUCCGCCGGAGUUCCUCCGAUGACUCGGCGGGCGGCUUCCGGGAAACCAAAAGCUUUUGGGUUCCGGGGGAAGUAUGGUUGCAAAGCUGAAACUUAAAGGAAUUGACGGAAGGGCACUACAAGGAGUGGAGCCUGCGGCUUAAUUUGACUCAACACGGGGCAACCCACCAGGUCCGGACACUGGGAGGAUUGACAGAUUGAGAGCUCUUUCUUGAUUCAGUGGGUAGUGGUGCAUGGUCGUUUUUAGUUGGUGGAGCGAUUUGUCAGGUUCAUUCCGGUAACGAGCGAGACUCUAGCCUGCUAAAUAGUCGUUUGAGCAUCCUUUAGUGCUGCUCACGAUUAUAUAUCUUCUUAGAGGGAUAGGCGGCGUUUAGCCGCACGAGAUUGAGCAAAAACAGGUCUGUGAUGCCCUUCGAUGUCCUGGGCCGCACGCGCGCUACACUGAAGGAAAAAACGUGUUAUUCCCGUUUUGAGAGGAACGGGUAACCCGAUGAAUCUCCUUCGUGCUAGGGAUUGGGGAUUGCAAUUUUUCCCCAUAAACGAGGAAUUCCUAGUAAGCGCGAGUCACCAGCCCGUGCUGAUUAAUGUCCCUGCCCUUUGUACACACCGCCCGUCGCUACUUCCGAUUGAAUGAUUUAGUGAGGUCUUCGGACCUGUGGGCACGAGUAAUUCUCGCGACCUGCGGGAAAGUUGAUCGAACUUGAUCAUUUAGAGGAAGUAAAAGUCGUAACAAGGUCAUC